rnacentral:rRNA from 1 species
UCUUCCCUCUGGCGGCGUGCCUAAUACAUGCAAGUCGAGCGAACAGACGAGGAGCUUGCUCCUUCGACGUUAGCGGCGGACGGGUGAGUAACACGUAGGUAACCUACCUAUAAGACUGGGAUAACUUCGGGAAACCGGAGCUAAUACCGGAUAAUAUUUCGAACCGCAUGGUUCGAUAGUGAAAGAUGGCUUUGCUAUCACUUAUAGAUGGACCUGCGCCGUAUUAGCUAGUUGGUAAGGUAACGGCUUACCAAGGCAACGAUACGUAGCCGACCUGAGAGGGUGAUCGGCCACACUGGAACUGAGGCACGGUCCAGACUCCUACGGGAGGCAGCAGUAGGGAAUCUUCCGCAAUGGGCGAAAGCCUGACGGAGCAACGCCGCGUGAGUGAUGAAGGUCUUCGGAUCGUAAAACUCUGUUAUUAGGGAAGAACAAACGUGUAAGUAACUGUGCACGUCUUGACGGUACCUAAUCAGAAAGCCACGGCUAACUACGUG